rnacentral:rRNA from 1 species
AUUGAACGCUGGCGGCAUGCCUUACACAUGCAAGUCGAACGGCAGCACGGGAGCAAUCCUGGUGGCGAGUGGCGAACGGGUGAGUAAUAUAUCGGAACGUGCCCAGUCGUGGGGGAUAACGUAGCGAAAGCUACGCUAAUACCGCAUACGAUCUAUGGAUGAAAGCGGGGGGAUCGCAAGACCUCGCGCGAUUGGAGCGGCCGAUAUCAGAUUAGGUAGUUGGUGAGGUAAAGGCUCGCCAAGCCGACGAUCUGUAGCUGGUCUGAGAGGACGACCAGCCACACUGGGACUGAGACACGGCCCAGACUCCUACGGGAGGCAGCAGUGGGGAAUUUUGGGACAA